ACUGGACUCAGAGUAAUUUUGUUUGUUAAAAUUUUCAAAUUUCAAAAUUUCCUUACAGAACAUGAUUUAUACUUUGAAGAAAAUUACACAAAGACACAAUUAUUAGAAGUGUUACAUACUCGAAAAUUUGAGAAACAAUAUAAAAUAGAUGCUAUGGCGCGAGAUCGUGGAUUUAGGCCCUGCACAAGAGCGGUACAACCCCACCACCCACCCUUCGACGGCACCGGGGUGGUACGGACCCGGACGACAGAACGCACCUCGCAGUACACGCGAUCGGUCGACAAACUGUACAUACAUUUACACACUAUUAAUAUAUAGUUAUAAAACAA